GAUGAACGCUGGCGGCGUGCCUAAUACAUGCAAGUCGAGCGAACAGACGAGGAGCUUGCUCCUUUGACGUUAGCGGCGGACGGGUGAGUAACACGUGGAUAACCUACCUAUAAGACUGGGAUAACUUCGGGAAACCGGAGCUAAUACCGGAUAACAUGUUGAACCGCAUGGUUCAACAGUGAAAGACGGUCUUGCUGUCACUUAUAGAUGGAUCCGCGCCGCAUUAGCUAGUUGGUAAGGUAACGGCUUACCAAGGCAACGAUGCGUAGCCGACCUGAGAGGGUGAUCGGCCACACUGGAACUGAGACACGGUCCAGACUCCUACGGGAGGCAGCAGUAGGGAAUCUUCCGCAAUGGGCGAAAGCCUGACGGAGCAACGCCGCGUGAGUGAAGAAGGUCUUCGGAUCGUAAAACUCUGUUAUUAGGGAAGAACAAAUGUGUAAGUACCUAUGCACGUCUUGACGGUACCUAAUCAGAAAGCCACGGCUAACUACGUG
rnacentral:rRNA from 1 species